rnacentral:rRNA from 1 species
UACGAAGGGGGCUAGCGUUGCUCGGAAUCACUGGGCGUAAAGCGCACGUAGGCGGACUCUUAAGUGGUGGUGAAAUCCUGGAGCUCAACUCCAGAACUGCCUUCGAUACUGGAAGACUUGAGUCCGGGAGAGGUGAGUGGAACUGCGAGUGUAGAGGUGAAAUCGUAGAUAUUCGCAAGAACACCAGUGGCGAAGGCGGCUCACUGGCCCGGUACUGACGCUGAGGUGCGAAAGCGUGGGGAGCAAACAGG